UAUCCAUCCGCUGCUCCCUCCAGCGCGGCUCUUCCUGACCUCCCCAUCCUGUCCCACGCCCGGGCCCCUAGCCUCCCACCAGUCCCAAAUAUUAUAGCAACGCUAGAAAUCUGUUGGUGGUCGCCACGUUUUAGUGUCCGCGAGGGCCUCCUGAGGCAGCCAGGGGCCAACACGCAAGUCCGGGCUGGGUCUCGUCGUGGCCCCGCCCACCUCUGGGUCGGAACUACGGUGGGCCUGGGAGGGGGCGUCCAGCCUUUCGCGCCGUAUCCCUCCGCCUCCCCUUUCCCGGCACCCUCGCGGCGGGCGGUUCUUGCUGCAUCCUGCGCGGCCCCUGCCCUAUUUGGUGUAGAGGCGUUGGGGGGCGGGACGCGUCUUUGCUGUUGGGAAUGCGGGGAAAGCGGUGGGAAUCUAAGUAAGGAGCCGCCAGAGGAGAGCUGAGGAGAGGAGGGGGAGGCCGACGACCUGGGCCUUGGGCCUUUGAAGGAUGUGACUCUUCCCUAACUAGAGGACUCUUCUUUGGUGGGAAGGAUAGCAUCUCCUGAGAACCCCUGCUGUAUGAGCAGGCUGACAUAAAUGGUGAAUGAGGUAGGAUCUAGGUCCAUCUCCACUGGUAGCUGUGGUGGCUUUGGAUUGUUGGAAGACCAUCACCUUCAGCAGUUUAACAUCAGAGACUCUGAAAUCCUCUUAGGUUACCGGAGCAAGAGGAAAGAGACCCAGAUCACAUCAUGGAGACACUUUAGGCAAGUCAUAUCUUUCUGCCAGCUUUGUCUAUCCAACAGGAUAAUAAUCCUCACACCUAUAGACCACCCAGGAAUACUCUGGAAUUUAAGUGUGAUCCCUUGUGGCAAUCUGUGGUCUUAUGUGGUGGGGAAGAACCAAUGCACUUGCAGCUAAUUAUAUUAACAGAGAAACUGCAGAUGUCCCAGCACACUGUAUAGUGGGCAUUAAAUUUAUGAUACCCAAUUCUGAGCUGUUUAGGUCAGGAUUUUUACAGGUGUGAUCUAUGGACCACUUCAUCAGAUAUGUUCAUGGUUGCUUGCUAAAAUGCAGAUACCUGGGCCUGUCCUAGAUCUGCAGAAUCAAAACCAGGGAGGUGAGGUUAGAGGUGUCUACAUUUUGAGUAAUUUCUUUUGUUGUUUCUGUUACUCAUCCACGUUUGAAAAGCACUGCUGUGGAUGGCAACAAGGUCUAUGAAAAGUUUGAAUCCUUUGAUGUCUAAUUUCAAUAUUCACACCUGAGGGUAGAGGAAGAGAGGAGAGUAAGGAUUGAAAACUACCUAUUGGGUACUAUGCAUAUUACCUGAGUGGCAAAAUAAUCUGCACACCAAACCCCUGUGACACGCAAUUUGCCUGUUUAACAAACCUUCACAUGUACUCCUAAACCUAACAUUAAAGUUAAAAAAUAAACAUUUUAAAAAUAAGUAAAAUCAAAAGCCAUAUAAGACAAAGAUAGAUAAAUUUGACAGCAAAUUUAACAAAAGAUACCACAAACAAAGGGAGAGGACUCCAACAGAUUGGAGGAAAAUAUGCCAUUUUUUAUAAUAAGGAAUGAGUAUCUGCAUCAUAAACAAGAAAAAAGAAAAAGAAGACUCAUUUGUAAGACUAUUAAGCUUUAUUGAAUUUAUUGAAUUGGCUUGAUUUAAUCUUUCCACAAUGUAAACAUAUAUCAAAACAUUACAGCGUACCCUAUAAUAUAUACAAUUAUUUGUCAGUUAAAAUUAAAAUUUAAAAAAUACCUGAGGUGAUAAAUAGGAUUCAGUUGUAAGACUAUCAAGCUUUCCUUUCCCAGUAUGUCUGCCUUAGAAUUUUCAAAUUAAUAUGAUACCUGGCCAUUUAUAUUUUUAAAAACCAGAACGCAGGGACUUUUUUAAUUUUAAUUUUUAUUUUAAGUUUCAUGACAUGUAAAACAUGGUUUGCCCUCUGUUUUAAGUACUGCAUAAUUCUGGUUUUACUGAUAAGAGUUUGAGUGUUUUUAUGGUGAAAUAAAACUAUUCAAAGUCACAAGGUUUUUACAUGGCAGAAUAGGGUUUGUCUCCAGUCUAUAACCAGAGCCCACACUCCUAACCAGUAUAAUUAGGAAGAAGAAACAGACAUUUGUUGAACUAUGUCAGCCCAUGGUGGUUGGUGUAACAUUGAG
ensembl:lincRNA